GGGUUGUGAGGUUAAGCGACUAAGCGUACACGGUGGAUGCCCUGGCAGUCAGAGGCGAUGAAGGACGUGCUAAUCUGCGAUAAGCGUCGGUAAGGUGAUAUGAACCGUUAUAACCGGCGAUUUCCGAAUGGGGAAACCCAGUGUGAUUCGUCACACUAUCAUUAACUGAAUCCAUAGGUUAAUGAGGCGAACCGGGGGAACUGAAACAUCUAAGUACCCCGAGGAAAAGAAAUCAACCGAGAUUCCCCCAGUAGCGGCGAGCGAACGGGGAGCAGCCCAGAGCCUGAAUCAGUGUGUGUGUUAGUGGAAGCGUCUGGAAAGGCGUGCGAUACAGGGUGACAGCCCCGUACACAAAAAUGCACAUGCUGUGAGCUCGAUGAGUAGGGCGGGACACGUGGUAUCCUGUCUGAAUAUGGGGGGACCAUCCUCCAAGGCUAAAUACUCCUGACUGACCGAUAGUGAACCAGUACCGUGAGGGAAAGGCGAAAAGAACCCCGGCGAGGGGAGUGAAAAAGAACCUGAAACCGUGUACGUACAAGCAGUGGGAGCACAGAGCAAUCUGUGUGACUGCGUACCUUUUGUAUAAUGGGUCAGCGACUUAUAUUCUGUAGCAAGGUUAACCGAAUAGGGGAGCCGAAGGGAAACCGAGUCUUAACUGGGCGUUAAGUUGCAGGGUAUAGACCCGAAACCCGGUGAUCUAGCCAUGGGCAGGUUGAAGGUUGGGUAACACUAACUGGAGGACCGAACCGACUAAUGUUGAAAAAUUAGCGGAUGACUUGUGGCUGGGGGUGAAAGGCCAAUCAAACCGGGAGAUAGCUGGUUCUCCCCGAAAGCUAUUUAGGUAGCGCCUCGUGAAUUCAUCUCCGGGGGUAGAGCACUGUUUCGGCAAGGGGGUCAUCCCGACUUACCAACCCGAUGCAAACUGCGAAUACCGGAGAAUGUUAUCACGGGAGACACACGGCGGGUGCUAACGUCCGUCGUGAAGAGGGAAACAACCCAGACCGCCAGCUAAGGUCCCAAAGUCAUGGUUAAGUGGGAAACGAUGUGGGAAGGCCCAGACAGCCAGGAUGUUGGCUUAGAAGCAGCCAUCAUUUAAAGAAAGCGUAAUAGCUCACUGGUCGAGUCGGCCUGCGCGGAAGAUGUAACGGGGCUAAACCAUGCACCGAAGCUGCGGCAGCGACGCUUAUGCGUUGUUGGGUAGGGGAGCGUUCUGUAAGCCUGCGAAGGUG
rnacentral:rRNA from 1 species